rnacentral:rRNA from 1 species
GACGAACGCUGGCGGCGUGCUUAACACAUGCAAGUCGAAGAUAGUGGCGAACGGGCGAGUAAUACGUGGGUAACCUGCCCUCCUUUUUGGGAUAAGCCUUGGAAACGGGGUCUACUACCGCAUAAAGGGGGAUGGGCUCGGGGCCUAUCCGCUUGUUGGUGGGGUGUUGGCCUACCAAGGCGGUGACGGGUAGCCGGCCUGUGAGGGUGACAGGCAACAUGGGGACUGGGAUACGGCCCAGACUCCUACGGGAGGGAGCAGUGGGGGAUAUUGCACAAUGGACGAAAGUCUGAGGCAGCGACGUCGUGGGGGGGAUGAAGGCCUUCGGGUUGUAAACUCCUUUCGCCAGCGGAAGGGUGGUGAGUAAAGAAGCGCCGGCUAACUACGUGCCAGCAGCCGCGGUAAUAC